UACGUAGGUGGCGAGCGUUAUCCGGAAUUACUGGGCGUAAAGGGUGUGUAGGCGGGACUGCAAGUCAGAUGUGAAAAUUACGGGCUCAACCCGUAAACUGCAUUUGAAACUGUGGUUCUUGAGAGCCGGAGAGGUAAAUGGAAUUCCCAGUGUAGCGGUGAAAUGCGUAGAUAUUGGGAGGAACACCAGUGGCGAAGGCGAUUUACUGGACGGCAACUGACGCUGAGACACGAAAGUGUGGGGAGCAAACAGG
rnacentral:rRNA from 1 species